rnacentral:rRNA from 1 species
UACGUAGGGGGCGAGCGUUGUCCGGAAUCAUUGGGCGUAAAGCGCGUGUAGGCGGCCCGGUAAGUCCGCUGUGAAAGUCCAGGGCUCAACCCUGGGAUGCCGGUGGAUACUGUCGGGCUAGAGUCCGGAAGAGGAGUGUGGAAUUCCUGGUGUAGCGGUGAAAUGCGCAGAAAUCAGGAGGAACACCAAUGGCGAAGGCAGCACUCUGGGACGUGACUGACGCUGAGACGCGAAAGCGUGGGGAGCAAACAGG